rnacentral:rRNA from 1 species
UACGGAAGGUCCUGGUGUUAUCCGGAUUUAUUGGGUUUAAAGGGAGCGUAGGCCGCAGAUUAAGUGUGUUGUGAAAUUCAGGCGCCCAACGUCUGACUUGCAGCGCAAACUGGUCUGCUUGAGUUCGCGCAACGCAGGCGGAAUUCGUCGUGUAGCGGUGAAAUGCUUAGAUAUGACGAAGAACUCCGAUUGCGAAGGCAGCUUGCGGGAGCACAACUGACGCUGAAGCUCGAAAGUGCGGGUAUCGAACAGG